GAUGAACGCUGGCGACGUGCUUAACACAUGCAAGUCGAACGAUGAAGCCGGAGCUUGCUCUGGUGAAUUAGUGGCGAACGGGUGAGUAACACGUGAGUAACCUGCCCUUGACUCUGGGAUAACUGCGGGAAACUGUAGCUAAUACCGGAUACGACCCUCGGAGGCAUCUCCUGGGGGUGGAAAGAAUUUCGGUCAAGGAUGGACUCGCGGCGUAUCAGCUAGUUGGUGAGGUAAAGGCUCACCAAGGCGACGACGGGUAGCCGGCCUGAGAGGGUGACCGGCCACACUGGGACUGAGACACGGCCCAGACUCCUACGGGAGGCAGCAGUGGGGAAUAUUGCACAAUGGGCGCAAGCCUGAUGCAGCAACGCCGCGUGAGGGAUGACGGCCUUCGGGUUGUAAACCUCUUUUAGCAGGGAAGAAGCGAAAGUGACGGUACCUGCAGAAAAAGCACCGGCUAACUACGUGCCAGCCGCCGCGGUAA
rnacentral:rRNA from 1 species